GCCCGCCUCGGGCCGGGGCCGGCAGGAUGGCUCCAGGCCCCGCCCAUCCUAUCGCAGCCGAGGGUUUUGGAGGCGGCCAAGAAGCUAGGGCUGAAUGGUCAACUUUGGUUCCGAUCGCCUAUAAAAAAUAGCCUUCCCGCUGUUAGACUGCCCUUUCGUUCACUGAAUCGACUUUCACGACUGAUCAUAGCUUGAGCUUGCAGUGCUAAAAUGCAGGUCACCACUAUUGGACAGAUGGAGAUUCUAUUUAUGCUGUGAAUGACAGCUAUGCAGGAAGGGAACAUAUCCGAGGCUAAAUGAUGAUGACAGUGGCGGUGGUGACUUCAUCUUACCCCAAAUAUUUGCAUAUGACUACUGUCAAAUGCCACCUCCCCCCAAAAUCAACCAAAAAUAAAAAUGUAAACCACUCAUCCUGCGAACUUUAAUUCCACAAAAGAUGUAUGUAGAGGGACUAAAUCUCUGGUUUUCUAGCUGCUAAUUCAAAUCUCUUCUUCCUUUGCCUGAGCCAUAAAUAAGGUUUUAGCAUUCAAAUUCUGGAGAUGCUUAAAGAUGUAGCAACUUCUGCCAAAAUAUCAGACCUAUUAGCUCCUGGCUGGAACUGCUUCACCAGGAUUCUUUUCAAGACGUGGUUUCACCUACGGCUGCCCACUCCAAGUGUAGGGUUCCAUCAGCUCUAACACGCUGAGAGAAAUGUGCUUAUACUUCAUCACUUUCCCAAAAUAUACACCAGUAAGGCUUCCAAGGGCCAAAAGAACAAAACAGCCUUUUCCAGUAGUAGUACUGAAAUUUGCAAUUCGAUUCCUGGCUCUGUGUGCUCUGACUAAACGGAGGCUUUUGUUCUGACUUGUUGGAUCCUAGCAAAAGCUGUGUCAGGACAAGUUUCCAAGGGAUGGUGUAGAAAGGAUAUAUGGCUGAAGGGUUGCUGAGUGGACAAGAAGAGGCGAAGUUGAGAACCAGCGACUGAGUCAGCAUGUUAGCUGAGCAGUGUGCUUACAUGAGCGUGAGUCCAGGAGGCUGAAACUAGGUUACAGACUAUAAAGUGAUUCACAGUUCAGCAAUCGAUGUAGCCAUCGGUUACACAUAAGAAUGAACCAGAAAGCAUCAUACAAUCAUUUUACUCUGAGGUUAAUAAUUUUUGGUCAAGCUUCUUUUUCAGUAUCAUAGUUAAAGAAAAUAUAGAAGGAAAAGAGAUGUGUUAACAUUUAUCUUGCUUUUAAAAUGAGCCCAAAUGACAUAAGGCUGGAAGGAUUAAGGUAUUAAAAUUUUACCUAUACGUAUUUUUACAAGGUCUUAAGACAUCGAAUCAAAAUGAGAAUUCAGUGCACAAAAAUCUGGUUCGAUUGUGAAAAA